CAUCAUUAGCUUUUCUUGGGAUCUCAAAGGACCCUGUGCAGCAGGCCACUAUUUGAAUGUGUGUUGCUCCUUGUGGCAGGUAUACUGUUCCAAUGCCCUGGGAUCUCUGUAGUGGUCGGUACUGUAUUGAUUAUAAAUGGUGAAGUCCUAGUAUCUUGCUAGAGUGAGCUGGCCAGGAUGGUGGAGCUCUACCACCAUUUCACAGGUUAUAGACAGGGGCCACCAGGUUUCAGGAAAGCAGCAAUGACCCCUCAGUAAUAGUUGGAAAGUGUGAUAUGACACUGAGCUUCACUGUGUUGGUGAAGAAGAGCUGCAGUUUGCCUCCACCUCUGAAGAAGCACAAUACACCUUUCUGGGUUACCAAUGGGAUACUUCCCAACAGCUUUGUCAUCACAUACAAUAUUCUCAAACAAGAUCUUAAUGGCAUCUACUUUCUCCAGGAACACAGCCCCUGACCUGUGUGUGUUUGCGUAGAGAAGGCAUGCUAUGUACCCCCUAGGAUAUCAAGAUUCCUGUAGCAGAUUGAGCUCUGGCAGUUGAUCUCAGUGGCUUGAUAGAGUGUCAUUAUAAAAACGCACCUGGAAGAUUCUGUGGAAAAGACAACCUCAGAAGACCAAGGAAUCUGCCCACCACUCAAGCCUGGGAAAGCUGGCAGAGGAUGCACGUGUUUUACUCACCUGAGUGUUUACAAUGCUCGUGAGGUGCCUCCCUGAUAUUUUUAUAGCAGAAUGGAGAAACACAACCAAGGAGAUACACCUAAGUAACAACAGCAAUGAUGUCAAAAAGAGUGCCUGAAUACUUAGGGUGGAGGUCCUGGACAUGCAAACCCAAGCUUCCUCUUUGCUGUGGCCAGGAAUCUGCAGUGAUUGAGAGCACAGACUGUAUCUAAAAUUCCACCUUUCAAAGUUCAGCAUAUUACUUUUUUUUUUCUUACACCUAUAAGUACAGAGGAAUGAAGAAGGAAUAAACAGACCUUCUGGAUAAUUGCAUCAGCCUUCCCCACUAUUCCAAUGCCAUGCUAACAUUUCAAGUAAUGUCCCUUUUGUCUUGCUGAGAAAAAAUCAUUUCAUGAUUUAUUACACUGGAUUAAAGGCUAUGCACACUCUGGAGUUGGAACAUGACUGAAGGGCAAGCAAGCAUAAAGGAUAUCAGAAACAGUUGAUGUGUUUAAAUUUUUCUGAAUUUCUCAAGUAAACUUUUUAGAAAGUAGUCUGAAGAUAAAAUGGUUAUAUAAGUUACUUAAACUGUAGAUGAUGGCACCUUUAUCCCUAUAUAAUAAAAUUAAGAUUUGUAGGUUAAACCUUGGAUAUUCCCAUCUGAGCAUCUGUACCAAACAGAAAAGACCUGUGUGAGUUCCUGAGAACCAGUGCUCAUUCCAGAAGAGACAGGUUUCUCUCCAGGAAGAAAUGUCUGAAAUUCAGUGAAUUAAAAUCCUCAUUGAGUCU
ensembl:lncRNA LINC00616 long intergenic non-protein coding RNA 616